rfam:Aspergillus niger ATCC 1015, whole genome shotgun sequence.
GCCCGGAUGGUCUAGUGGUAUGAUUCCUGCUUCGGGAUUUGAAAUGCAGGAGGUCCCGCGUUCGAAUCGCGGUUCGGGCC